rnacentral:rRNA from 1 species
AACGAACGCUGGCGGCAGGCUUAACACAUGCAAGUCGAGCGCCCCGCAAGGGGAGCGGCAGACGGGUGAGUAACGCGUGGGAAUCUACCGUGCCCUACGGAAUAGCUCCGGGAAACUGGAAUUAAUACCGUAUACGCCCUUAGGGGGAAAGAUUUAUCGGGGUAUGAUGAGCCCGCGUUGGAUUAGCUAGUUGGUGGGGUAGAGGCCUACCAAGGCGACGAUCCAUAGCUGGUCUGAGAGGAUGAUCAGCCACAUUGGGACUGAGACACGGCCCAAACUCCUACGGGAGGCAGCAGUGGGGAAUAUUGGACAAUGGCGCAAGCCUGAUCCAGCCAUGCCGCGUGAGUGAUGAAGGCCCUAGGGUUGUAAAGCUCUUUCACAGGUGAAGAUAAUGACGGUAACCGGAGAAGAAGCCCCGGCUAACUUCGUGCCAGCCGCCGCGGUAA